CCUACGGGGGGUGCAGUAAGGAAUAUUGGUCCAUGGAGGAAACUCUGAACCAGCCAUCCCGCGUGAAGGAUGAAGGGGCUCUGCCUUGUAAACUUCUUUUGUCUGGGGCGAAAAAGCUCGAUUUAUCGAGAACUGACGGUACCAGAAGAAUAAGCACCGGCUAACUCCGUGCCAGCAGCCGCGGUAAUACGGAGGGUGCAAGGGUUAUCUGGAUUUAAUGGGUUUGUAGGGUGCGUAGUAGGCUUGGUAUGAAAGGCUGUGGCUUAACCAUGGAAUUGCCAUUGAUACUGCAGAGCUUGAAUGAGGUUGAGGUUGGCGGAAUGUGACAUGUAGCGGUGAAAUGCUUAGAUAUGUCAUGGAACACCGAUUGCGAAGGCAGCUGACUGGACCUAUAUUGACGCUGAGGCACGAAAGCGUGGGGAGCGAACAGGAUUAGAUACCCGGGUAGUC
rnacentral:rRNA from 1 species